GCCAGCAGCCAUAUCACCCUUUAACUCACAACUGGCAACCCACUGAAGCUCAGCAGGUGUGAGCCUGGUCAGUACCUGGAUGGGAGACCUCCUGGGAAAAACUAAGGUUGCUGGUG
rnacentral:rRNA from 1 species